UAGAAGGAGAAGGGGAAACUGGUGGAGAUGAUCUCAAAAUCCUCCUGGGAGAUGUAACCCUUUUGGUCAGGAUCGUAAUUCUUGAACACCGUCUGGGGGAGAAGGAGUGGAGGGAAAGAGUGAGUAAGAAGCCAUAGGGAGAUGAUGAGCAGGCAAUAUGGGUGGACCGCAGCCUCUGUAUGGACAGCUCUCCGGCCUGAAGGGAUGAGGUUAUGUAUUUCCGUACACAUUUCUUGCCUGGAGAGCUGCACUGCAAAACAUGGACAAGUGCAAAUUUUGAAGGAUGGAUAGCUGUGUUUUGGCCCUCAUGUUGUUGAAGAAAACGUGGAUUUGUUAAGUUUGCCUUUAAAUGUGAACUGAAUCAAAUUUCUCCUCCAUCUCUAGAAGUGCAGACUGGCCUGUUCUUACCUCGAUCAUCUGCAGGACGUGUCUCUUCACAGUUCUCCGGUCAGGCUUGGGAGUCACCCCAGGCACCCACUCCACUACCACAGGCGGUUUGAACUGCGUUGGUGGCUGUGGAGACAGGGAAGCAAGUCUGAGAGGUGGGCCUGAGCUAAGGAUCCGAUAAGGACCAACUAAUAAGGGCUCUUCCCCUCCCUGGUUUCCUCACACCUUUGCUAUCCUCUUACCAGUGACUUGGGGCCACGAGGCUCGCGGGCGUACGAGAGCGUAUAGAUCUCCUCAUCCGUGUAGAAGAGGUCAAGAGAGAGCUGGGAGAUGGAAGAAAAGUUAUAGAAGGGAACAGAAACCACACUCAGGCCCCAUUAAGUCACUCACAUCAUCAUUAUCGGCAGGGAACUUGUUGACCUCAAGACUGGCGGCAAUCAAGAGUCCUGUGCAGGGGCUCAAAGAAUGCAGAAUGGGGGGUGGGGGUGGCAAGGACGAAAGGGUGGAAUGGGAAGCUCUGAAUGGGGAUUCAAAAGCACAUUAUUUCAGCUGAACCUACUUAGAAAUCUCUUCAUGAUUAGGAGCAUCCUGUACAACUAGAGUUCCCAGCUGUGAGGAUUUAAAGUGCACUCAGCUGAACGCAUGAAGACUCCCCCUUCAGACCUUCCCCCCAAACACAUGAAGGUCUGCCAAGGAGGAUGGAUUUUUGGAGACGGAGGAGGUUAGUAUGCAUGGCCCCCUUCUUCCUGCAAUUCAGGCUCAGUAGAACACCUUAAGAGAGGGGUCAGGCACCUUUUCUGGCCUGACAGCC